GACGAACCGUGCGAACGUUAUUCGGAAUCACUGGGCUUAAAGCGCGUGUAGGCGGGGAGGCACGUCCGACGUUGAAAUCCCCCGGCUCAACCGGGGAACUGGCGCGGAUACGACCUUCCUGGAGGGGCGUAGGGGGACCUGGAACUUCCGGUGGAGCGGUGAAAUGCGUUGAGAUCGGAAGGAACGCCCGUGGCGAAAGCGAGGUCCUGGACGCCUACUGACGCUGAGACGCGAAAGCCAGGGGAGCGAACAGG
rnacentral:rRNA from 1 species